rnacentral:lncRNA from 1 species
CAAAUUUCAAGAUAGUCAUCGACUCCCAAACAAGACAAUAGUAGUAUCAAUAUGCCUGCCGUCAAUCAUAAGUUUCUCUCUAUUAUAUUUCCAAAUAUUUUUUAGGGCGCAGAAUCAUUACAACGUCGUUUUUGGCUGUCUUAUCUGAAAAAAUUACCCAAUCUUCUUCCCCUUUGUCCUCGUCAAUUAGGUCGCACAGAAAACUUCUUGUUGUGGUUUGAAUCUUCUCUCAGUUCUUGUGUUUCUUGAUAUUUCAAUCUGCUUUGAUUCGUACCUGAUCAAUAUUAUCUGGGUUCGGUUACACUUAAUUUUGUGGUUGUUGAUUGAAAAGGGGAAACUGAAAACUGUAGCUGCUGGAAACGACCUCAUUGUUUAAUUUUGGUUUUUUAGGGAUUAACAUUAUUUUCUCCAGACUCGGAGUUGGCUGGGAUUUCCAAUCCUGAGAAGGUAAAACGAUUACCUGUCAUUAUUGUUUCUUUAUGUUUCUAUUUUUUUUUUCUGUUUGCAGUUGUUGUAAAGUCUUAUUAUGUAACAUUUAUUUUAGACAAGUGGUAACAAAACUUGGUAAAUUUGUACAUUUUAAAUUUCAUAGAUUUAGAUGGCAUAAUUUGGGUCCUAUAAUACUAGUGAAAUUAUAGUGGAAGUGGAACUAUUCUAGCUUCCCAUAAGACCAAUUUAUUUUAGUUUCACUUUGGUUGUCUGAGGGUUGGUAUUUCUUGAUAGCUUUAGUUUGGUAGUCUACAAGGUUGGUAACAUUGAAGAGGAUGUUGUACGCGGAUUAUGUCUAUGAUGAAAAAAAAACAUAAUGUAGAAGAGAGAUAGGGGCUCAUUGGUGCUUCAGAAUGUGAUAUGAUUGAAGAAUUAAACGAGCUAUUUUCCAACAGUGCUACAAGACUGAUAUAAAGCUAUCCAUGUUUUGUAGUCUUAUGUUACUUAAUUAAGAAAUUCUAAGCAUAGCUAAGACUAGCCAUGUUUUUGUGGUCUGAUAUGUUCUUUCAUAGAAAAAUUAUUAUGUGUACAGUUCGAGUGUAGUUAAACUUUAAUUUUAGAUACAUGGGCUCACAAGCUAUUUCAUCCCGCACGAUUUGGAAAAUUUAGCGUGAGAGCCAACUAGCCAAGUUACAGUCAUAAAAGAACCAUUUGAGAAAUUAGAGGUGGUUUUAGUUAAAGGCAAUUUUAGAUUGUGUCAACCAAGUUAGUUUGAAGUUAUUCUUCUGGAAAAGAAAAAGAUCUGUGACACUUAUUUAUAAAAGAAGAGUUUUGACUGAUGAAAGAGAUAUUUAGGUCACAAAUUAGUUACAGGCUAAACAUAUUCCUGAGUUCACUUGGCCAGGAUAAAUAAAUUAUCAAAUUAACAAGAUUAAAAUAUCUGACGUUGAAUUGGGGGAUAGAUCAUGUUUACUGGAGAUAUAGUAAUAUGGUGAGCAUAUAGGUAAUUCAAAUAGUUAAAUAUGCCUUAUUAUGUAGACUCCAGCUUUAUGGUGUGGUCCAACAAGAUACAUAAGAUAAAUUAUCAAGAUUCAUCUAAUGAUGGUGACUAGGAAGGGUAAUGCUAACUGACUUUGUAUAUUUUUUAGGAUAAAACUUGCUGGAGUUAUAUUAAUACCGUGUUCUAUAUUCAUAUGCAUAACUAUGUUGGAAUCCGGUUGUUGAAUGUGCCUGAUUGUCCAAAUUUAAUCAUUUACGUGUUUGGUAGUGGGAAUGGGGAUCAUAGAUGUCGAAUGAGCCUAGGAUAACAACAGGAGAUCUCAUUGAGCAUCUCACCAUGCAUAGUUUCUUGACCAUGUGGCCAUACUCAUAUAGCCCAUUUUAGAUCCCUAUUGGACUGGUUGAGGAAAUAACAAGCAAGUUCAGGAGGUUUGGUGAGUUAAAUCAUGUCCAAAAAUGCUUACCAAGUGUUGUGUACUUUGAUCCAUCUCCCUACUGUUAGAAUUUAGAGAUCUGUACUAAUUUCAGAGUGGAACUGGUAAUAAUUCAACCUGGGGUAAAUGAGAGACAUAGUCAACUUAGCUAGGAUCAAAUCAGUUGCGCUCUUUAGAUGUCUUGCCUUAUUAUAUCCUAGAGUUUAGGUUUCAAAUCCAUUUACUUGAACUUCAACGGUAAAUCCUUGAACUAUAGCAUAUUAGAUCUUUUUUCCGUUUUAGGGUGUGAUGCAUUGGUGUUUGUAGAUGUGCCAUAGCAAGUUAUGUUGCUCCAGUUGACUUUGAUGGUUUGCGGUGUACAUUAAAUAACCCGUACUAGAUAAGAUUGGUAUCUCUUGCCUACUUGAAAUGAUUAUCUUCAACAUUAUGUUUGUAUUGUUUUAUCUUCAACAUUGCAAAUCAAAAAAAAUAGUUAGGAAACUAGCGCCAGAAAUUUUGCUCUCUUUUUGUGACACUUGAAUAAAUGAUCUAUUAAAAUUUGCAAGUUUUUAUUUCGUUGCUUAUUUCUUCUACUUCACAUUUGAUCUUUAAGUAUUUAAUUACUGUUUAACACUGAUAUUUCUGUCCAUAAAGUUAGUUCAUGAAAUAAUGCUAUUGGGUCUAAUCCAUUUUUAGUUCUUACUUGGACCAAAUUCAUAUUAUGUGUUAUCACAUUCCUUGUGUUAUGCAGGAAGCAUGACGAGCAUUAAGGAUUGGAUUUUGUCUCAGCUAGUGUCCAAGUCAUUGGUCUCAGCAAGACCAUUGUCAGGCAGUGGUAGUUUUUUUGAAGAGGAAUCUUUUCAUGAUGAGUUUGGCAACCAAG